UGGCAUAUCAAAUAAGCGGAGGAAAAGAAACCAACAGGGAUUGCCUCAGUAACGGCGAGUGAAGCGGCAAAAGCUCAAAUUUGAAAUCUAGUGCUUUCAGUACUCGAGUUGUAAUUUGAAGAUGGCAACUUUGGGCGUGGCCUUUAUCUAUGUUCCUUGGAACAGGACGUCACAGAGGGUGAGAAUCCCGUCUGAUGAGGAGAUCCACGCCUUUGUAAAGUGCCUUCGAAGAGUCGAGUUGUUUGGGAAUGCAGCUCUAAGUGGGUGGUAAAUUCCAUCUAAAGCUAAAUAUUGGCGAGAGACCGAUAGCGAACAAGUACAGUGAUGGAAAGAUGAAAAGAACUUUGAAAAGAGAGUGAAAAAGUACGUGAAAUUGUUGAAAGGGAAGGGUAUUAGAUCAGACUUGGCGGUUGUUGAAAAUCAGUCCCUUGUGGAUUGUGCACUCAACAGCAGCUGGGCCAGCAUCGAUUGGAGUGGUUGGAUAAGGGUUGUUGGAACGUGGCACCCUUCGGGGUGUGUUAUAGCCUUCAGCACAUACGACCUACUUCGAUCGAGGACUGCGUCUUUUGACUAGGAUGCUGGCGUAAUGAUCUAAUAUCGCCCGUCUUGA
rnacentral:rRNA from 1 species